rnacentral:misc_RNA from 1 species
UAUCCAUGCUCGUCACGGUCAGACGUGAACUUGGACUCGCCCGAGACCGUGAGGACGUUGUUGUGGACGUCGAUGCUCACGUUCUCCUUUGUGACGCCGGGCAGCUCGAACGUCGCGGUGACGAUGUUCUUGUCUUUAUCCUCAUGGACAUCGACCCUAGGGAGGAGAACGCGAGGCGCGUUAUUACCGGACGGGCGUUGGACCUGGGAGCCGCCGGCGGUGCGACGAGUGAACGCCUCAUCGAAGAGGCGGUCAAACUCGGAAAAGAAGGGCUCGUUGUGGAAGACGUUGAACAGUGCCAUAGUAGUGGAUCGGAG